CCUACGGGUGGCUGCAGUGGGGAAUAUUGCACAAUGGGGGAAACCCUGAUGCAGCGACGCCGCGUGAGUGAAGAAGUAUCUCGGUAUGUAAAGCUCUUUCAGUAGGGGAGAAAAUGACGGUACCUGUUUAAGAAGCCCUGGCUAACUACGUGCCAGCAGCCGCGGCAAUACGGAGGGGGCAAGCGUUAUCCGGAUUUACUGGGUGUAAAGGGAGCGUAGACGGCAGCACAAGUCUGGAGUGAAAUGCCGGGGCUUAACCCCGGAACUGCUUUGGAAACUGGGCAGCUAGAGUGCAGGAGAGGUAAGUGGAAUGCGUGGUGUAGCGGUGAAAUGCGUAGAUAUUAGGAAGAACACCAGUGGCGAAGGCAGCUUACUGGACUGUAACUGACGUUGAGGCUCGAAAGCGUGGGGAGCAAACAGGAUUAGAUACCCGUGUAGUC
rnacentral:rRNA from 1 species